rnacentral:rRNA from 1 species
CCUCGGGGGGCAGCAGUGAGGAAUAUUGGUCAAUGGGCUUACGCCUGAACCAGCCAAGUAGCGUGAAGGAUGACUGCCCUACGGGUUGUAAACUUCUUUUAUAAAGGAAUAAAGUGAGGCACGUGUGCCUUUUUGUAUGUACUUUAUGAAUAAGGAUCGGCUAACUCCGUGCCAGCAGCCGCGGUAAUACGGAGGAUCCGAGCGUUAUCCGGAUUUAUUGGGUUUAAAGGGAGCGUAGAUGGGUUGUUAAGUCAGUUGUGAAAGUUUGGGGCUCAACCGUAAAAUUGCAAUUGAUACUGGUAGUCUUGAGUACAGUUGAGGUAGGCGGAAUUCGUGGUGUAGCGGUGAAAUGCUUAGAUAUCAAGAAGAACUCCGAUUGCGAAGGCAGCUUACUAAACUGCAACUGACAUUGAUGCUCGAAAGUGUGGGGAGCAAACAGGAUUAGAUACCCUUGUAGUC